CGAGCCCGCCCCGCCCUCGGAAUCCCCAUCCGCACGCAGGGCGACAGCGCCGAGGCACCUGCUCCGCCCUAGCGGGACUUGCUGCUUCUGAACCUUCAGAAACACCCGGAGCAGCAGGAUAGAGACUCCCGAUCUCGAGCCCUUCCCAUGCAGUACCACGAACGGCCUCCCUGUCCCUGGGGGAAGUGACUCCGCGGGGUGCGGGGAGCGAGAGCGAGCCUGACCCCAGCAGUCCUUCCAGCAGCGAGACCCCCUGUAAGUAGGGUGCAGGUCUCUUCCCCCUUGGCUCCGUUAGCCGUCUGGAGAGAAUGACCCACCCUGUAAGUAGGGUGCAGGUGACACCCCUGUGACUCAGUGAGGAGGUCGAGCUCUUUAAUCCCUAUGGGCAAUGUAGCCUCCCUGUAAGUAGAGUUCAGAUCUUGCCUUUUGCUGUGGUAGGUUUAAGAACCGUUGGCAUGCUACUCGGUGACCUCCCUGUAAUUGGGGUCCGGCUCACGGCCCUAUGGUUGGUGGGAUUUAGGGCUUGCGUACUAGGCUGGAUGCCAGUGACCUGCUUGUAACUUUGGGUUUCGGUCUUUUCCCUUUUGGCUUUCUUGGCACCGUGGUGCUCCAGCAAGGCAGUCAGAAAGACUGCUUGCUUCAGAAGAGUUCAGGUCUUGAUUUUUUCAUUCAAUGCGGAUAUUGAGCCUUUAAGUACCUUGAGACCGAGUGACCGCCCUGUAAGUAGGGUUGGGGUCUUUCCCCUUGUGAGCUCUAGGUGCUAAACCCUGGUAGUUGGCUAGUCGGCAUGGACCUCCUAGGAACUAGGGUUCAGGUCUCUUCCCUUCUUUAAUCCAGGUGAUAGACAUUUAUGGCAGGCGAACUGGUAUGACCGCCCUGGAACUAGGGUUCAGGUUGCUCCCCUCCUUUUACUUUAGGUCAUAGACACUUAUGGCUGGCUAGUUGGUGUGACAGCCCUAUAACUAGGGUUCACAUCUCUCCCCUUUGAAACCUAGGUAAUAUAGAAUUAUGGCCAGCUAGUCAGCGUGGACCACCCUGUAACCAGGGUUCAGGUCCAUUUCCUUUUGAAAGCCAAGCAAUAUAGAAUUAUGGCCUGUAAGUAGGGUUCAGGUCUCAUAAGCAUAAGCAGGGUGACCUUUUUAAUACAAUGUGCCCAUAACCUUUCGCGGUUAGCUCUUUUUCUGCUUUGGGAAGUGCUGUGUCAUGUGGUAUGUCUGUGUUGGAGAGCGAAUGUGAUGUGCAUGGGUGUGGAAGGUCUUUCUUUCUUUAUUUGUAAAUUGCUGCAGCUUUUUUGUUUUGGUUGAAUGAGCACUUCCCAGAACUAGAAAAAGAACUUGUUUGUUUUUUAUGGACCCCAUUUACACAUAUAGUGGCACGAUUGAUGGUUUGGGCCUCGUGCCUUAAGGCUGAAAAGGUGUUUGGGCCACUUGCUUAAGUUCCUCUAGACCGUGUGAUCUCCCUGCAUCUACGGCUCAGGUCACGUCCCUCUUCCUUCUGGGGAGAUGAUGGACUGCCAAGAACCUUAGGUCUGAGGGACCUCUUUUCCCUUUGGUACGUGAGCCACCUUGUUUAGCGAUUUCCCCCUGUCUCCAGAGUUCAGGUCUUGUCCCUGGCCCUCCCGGCUCUUUUUAGUCCCUUGUCCUUGAGUGGGCGCCCCGUAAUUAGGUGGCAGGUCACAUCACUCGCUUACAGGGGGUUAAUGAACCCUUUGGGGACCUAGAGCAGUGAGACCUGCCUGCAAUUAGAGUUCAGAGGUGUCCUUUUUGCUUUCACGUGACUCUUCUCCUUUGGUUUCUGAGUCAGAGUGACAGUCAUGUAAGAAGGAUGUAGGUCACGUCAGUGAGGAUCUGGAGAGGGUGGUACCUAAAGCAGCGAGACCACGCUGUAACUACGGUAUAGAUCGUUCCCCUCUUUUUCUCUUGGGCUUAUGAACCCUUGACAGGCUGGUCGGUGUGACCUCCCUGUAAGCAGGGCAUAGGUCACUUUUCUCGUUUAUGUGGGAUUAGGGGGCCGUCUUGGUCCCCCAAGAGCUCACCCUCUCUUAGGGUAGAGACCAAAACCCUUCUUAGCAUCUUGUCAUUAUGCUGCUCUUGCAGGCUAGCCAGAGUGAUCAUUCUGUAAUUGGGGCUCAGGUCACGUCCCUCUCGCUUAUGGGGGGAAUUCAGGUCUUAAUCGCUUGGGCCUUUGGGACCUCCCUGUAAUCAGGGUUGCGGUCCUACUCUUUUUGCUGUUGUGGGGUUCUGGUCCUUUAGGCUCAGCAGAGGGACCUCCUCCAUGGUUAGGGUGCAAGUCACGUCGGCCCCUCUGAUGCUCCCGGCACAGUCCUGGCCCUCUGGAGUGCCUUUCAAGCUCGCCCAAGGUUCUGCAGCGACGCCUCCUGGGUUCUGCCUCGCUUUUGAUCAUUGGAGUCCAGAGAGUCUGCAACAACUGCUGGCGAAUUCAAGUGAGGAAGCAGGAAACCUGGCUCCACAGAGGCAUUAGUUGAGCCUUUGGCACUUUGGGAGACAUGAACGCCUGGGUGUCAAGUGUGCCGUCAAAGCGCAUGAUGGGGACUGCUCAGAAUUCCCUUCCAGCUAUAAGUUGAAGGCUGCCUGUAGAGGCAAGACGACAAGCACAUGAGGAAGAAAAUGGGAAGGAGGAAACAGAAGAUGGAAGAGGAGGAGAAAAUAUGCAUCGGGCACAACGACUGCCCUGUAACUGGG